rnacentral:rRNA from 1 species
UACGUAGGGGCCUAGCGUUGUCCGGAUUUAUUGGGCGUAAAGAGCUCGUAGGCGGUUCGGCAAGUCGGAUGUGAAAUCUCCACGCUUAACGUGGAGGGGCCAUUCGAAACUGCCGUGACUCGAGUCCGGAAGAGGAGAGUGGAAUUCCCGGUGUAGCGGUGAAAUGCGCAGAUAUCGGGAAGAACACCCGUGGCGAAGGCGGCUCUCUGGGACGGUACUGACGCUGAGACGCGAAAGCGUGGGGAGCGAACAGG